GACGAACGCUGGCGGCGUGCCUAAUACAUGCAAGUCGAACGCUGAAGAGAGGAGCUUGCUCUUCUUGGAUGAGUUGCGAACGGGUGAGUAACGCGUAGGUAACCUGCCUUGUAGCGGGGGAUAACUAUUGGAAACGAUAGCUAAUACCGCAUAACAAUGGAUGACACAUGUCAUUUAUUUGAAAGGGGCAAUUGCUCCACUACAAGAUGGACCUGCGUUGUAUUAGCUAGUAGGUGAGGUAAUGGCUCACCUAGGCGACGAUACAUAGCCGACCUGAGAGGGUGAUCGGCCACACUGGGACUGAGACACGGCCCAGACGCCUACGGGAGGCAGCAGUAGGGAAUCUUCGGCAAUGGGGGCAACCCUGACCGAGCAACGCCGCGUGAGGGAAGAAGGUUGUCGGAUCGUAAAGCUCGGUUGUAAGUCAAGAACGGGUGUGAGAGUGGAAAGUUCACACUGUGACGGUAGCUUACCAGAAAGGGACGGCUAACUACGUG
rnacentral:rRNA from 1 species